rnacentral:rRNA from 1 species
UACGUAGGGUGCAAGCGUUGUCCGGAAUUAUUUGGGCGUAAAGAGCUCGUAGGCGGUUUUUGUUUGCGUCGGCUGUGAAAUCCCGAGGCUCAACCUCGGGUCUGCAGUCGAUACGAGCAAACUAGAGUGUUGCAGGGGAGACUGGAAUUCCUGGUGUAGCGGUGAAAUGCGCAGAUAUCAGGAGGAACACCGAUGGCGAAGGCAGGUCUCUGGGCAUUUAAACUGACGCUGGAGGAGCGAAAGCCGUGGGGAGCAAACAGG